rnacentral:rRNA from 1 species
GACGAACGCUGGCGGCGUGCCUAAUACAUGCAAGUCGAGCGGACUGAAUGGGAGCUUGCUCUUGUUCGGUCAGCGGCGGACGGGUGAGUAACACGUGGGCAACCUGCCCGCAAGACCGGGAUAACUCCGGGAAACCGGAGCUAAUACCGGAUAACACCGAAGACCGCAUGGUCUUUGGUUGAAAGGCGGCGCAAGCUGCCACUUGAGGAUGGGCCCGCGGCGCAUUAGCUAGUUGGUGAGGUAACGGCUCACCAAGGCGACGAUGCGUAGCCGGCCUGAGAGGGUGAGCGGCCACACUGGGACUGAGACACGGCCCAGACUCCUACGGGAGGCAGCAGUAGGGAAUCUUCCGCAAUGGGCGAAAGCCUGACGGAGCGACGCCGCGGGAGCGAAGAAGGCCGUCGGGUCGUAAAGCUCUGUUGUGAGGGACGAAGGAGCGCCGUUUGAAGAAGGCGGCGCGGUGACGGUACCUCACGAGGAAGCCCCGGCUAACUACGUG